CCCGCCUUAGCUCAGUAGUUAGAGCGCUCGGCUGUAGACCGAGAAGUCCCCGGUGCAAAUCCGGGAGGCGGGA
rnacentral:tRNA from 1 species